rnacentral:rRNA from 1 species
UGGGGAAUAUUGCACAAUGGGGGAAACCCUGAUGCAGCGACGCCGCGUGAACGAAGAAGGUAUUCGUAUCGUAAAGUUCUGUCCUAUGGGAAGAUAAUGACAGUACCAUAGAAGAAAGCUCCGGCUAAAUACGUACCAGCAGCCGCGGUAAUACGUAUGGAGCGAGCGUUGUCCGGAAUUAUUGGGCGUAAAGGGUACGCAGGCGGUUUAAUAAGUCGAAUGUUAAAGAUCGGGGCUCUACCCCGUAAAGCAUUGGAAACUGAUAAACUUGAGUAGUGGAGAGGAAAGUGGAAUUCCUAGUGUAGUGGUGAAAUACGUAGAUAUUAGGAGGAAUACCAGUAGCGAAGGCGACUUUCUGGACACAAACUGACGCUGAGGUACGAAAGCGUGGGGAGCAAACAGG